GAUGAACGCUAGCGGCAGGCUUAAUACAUGCAAGUCGAGGGGCAGCACGGUUAGCAAUAACUGGUGGCGACCGGCGCACGGGUGCGUAACACGUAUACAAUCUACCUUAAACAGGGGGAUAGCCUUUCGAAAGAGAGAUUAAUACCCCGUAAUAAAUUGAACGGCAUCGUUUGAUUUUGAAAGCUCCGGCGGUUUGAGAUGAGUAUGCGUCUGAUUAGCUAGUUGGUGAGGUAACGGCUCACCAAGGCGACGAUCAGUAGGGGAUCUGAGAGGACUAACCCCCACACUGGUACUGAGACACGGACCAGACUCCUACGGGAGGCAGCAGUAAGGAAUAUUGGUCAAUGGAGGCAACUCUGAACCAGCCAUGCCGCGUGCAGGAUGACGGCCCUAUGGGUUGUAAACUGCUUUUAUACAAGAGAAAACCCUGGUACGUGUACCAGGUUGAUAGUAUUGUAAGAAUAAGCAUCGGCUAACUUCGUGCCAGCAGCC
rnacentral:rRNA from 1 species